GAGUAGGUUGGGCGGUCGCGCAAAAGGCGCCGACAAUGCGCCGGAGUGAGGAAAGUCCGAGCUUCACAGAGCAGGAUAACGGAUAACGUCCGCCGGGGGUGACCUCCGGGAGAGUGCAACAGAGAUAUACCGCCGUGAAAAUUCACGGUAAGGGUGGAAAGGCGAGGUAAGAGCUCACCGGGUGCUGUGGUAACACGGCACUCCUGUAAACCCUAUCCGAAGCAACGCAAUGCGGAGAAGCGUUUUAAAUGCGGAGCUUGCUCGGCUCCGAUUCCGUAAGCGGCAGAAAGCUUUGCGGCAACGCAAGGAUAAGAUAGAUGACCGUCUUAAAUGACAGAACUCGGCUUACAGACCUACUCAU
rnacentral:RNase_P_RNA from 1 species